rnacentral:lncRNA from 1 species
GUGAGUCCAGACCAAGGCCUGGUGAAGCCGCUGGAGCAGGUCCAGGGAUUGGAAGGCCUCCCGCCAGGCGGGGUUGGUGGGAGAGGCCCGGGGAGCCCACUAGGUGACCUGGUGUCCCCACAGAUGUCGCGCAUGUACACCAUCCCACUGUAUGAGGACCUCUGCACGGGUGCCCUCAAGUCCUUUGCGCUGGAGGUCUUCUAUCAGACGCAGGGCCGGCUGCACCCCAAUCUGCGCAGAACCAUCCAGCAGAUCCUGUCCCAGGGCCUGGGCCCCAGUGCCGAGGCCAGCACUGAGCCCGACGCUGAGCUGGCCAGAGCUGGGGCAGAGGCAGGGUCAGACUCGGCAGCCCUGCUGCUUGGCGACGAGGCCCCCAGUAGCGCCAUCUCUCUCAGGGACGUCAACGUGUCUGCCUAGCCCUGACAUUGGGCCAACCUUCAACCUCCCAGACACCAAGAUUGUGCCUUCUGUGGCCCGGGCCGCCAUGACUGCGCCUUGGCUCUGGCCACGAGCUCGGCCCGGGCCCGUGAGCCUCUCCCGUGGGCUCUCCCGUGGGCUCUCCCGGGGGCUCUCCCAGGCUGGGGGCUUGGGGAGAGGGAUUCUGUCUAGUGGCAGCCCUGGGGGCCUGAGCUCACCCUGUCCCAGCUGUCCUGCACUGUGGGCCUCAGGACUGGCCUUAUGCACCACGCCUCCCAUCUCAACACUGACAGCCAUGCGUGGCCCCGGACACCCGCACCUGCUGGACACCAUCGUGGGACCGCAGCUCCAGCAGCUCAUGGCGACCACCACACUGUGCCUUACGUCUGCAGACAGGCUGCACUGCCCCCGAGGCACAGCUUCCCCAGAACCCUGCACUGUUAUCCCCUGGCAGAGGGACAAGGACGCGAUGUACCCUCACUGUGGGGGCUGGGGACAGGAGAGAAGGGGCAUCACAUGGGGAGCCUUGGCCCCUCGGCACAUGGAGUCCAGGCCCCAGAGGCCUGUUCUCCCAGCUGCCUGGGGUAGCGGCACAGCCACCCGGCUCACCCCAGGAAAGGGGUGGUGCUGAUGCUCUUGGGGCACACCUGCUGGAGGCA